AAAAAUGAAUCUUCUUUCAAUUAGAAAUUCACACAAAAGUGAAGGAGGUUGUUAGCAUUGUACAGAAAACUACAUGUACACAGCCCGCGUUAUCAAGGGAUGUGUGAGUUACCAUGGUAUUUUCAACUACAUUUACCUAAGGUAAAGUCUGAGGUCAGCGCACUCAAGUCCUCUGGGUUAGUGCUGUCAAUGUAGUGUGAUUUUGAUUGAUCUAAACGUAACGAUCAAUCUCGUUUCUCGCAUCGCGCUGUUUUCUCAUUAAGUAUGGUGUCCGGAUUGGACCACUUGCGUUAGCGCACCAUCGCGUUCAGAUACAUGUAAACCAAUACCUUCAUUUAUUCGGUUCUCUUCGGUUAUUAUAUUUUUUACGAAACAAUUAUCAUUUUUUCACAGGAAUAGCUAUAUUUCCCUUAUUGAGCAUCCAGGCUUUACUCUAGAAUAUCGUGUAACACUAGUCUACGUGUACCUUAAUUAAAGCUAUUUCUAUCAAUAUUGAACACUGUUCACCCAGGGUAUAUAAAGUCUUACCUGACCAAACUUCGAGUCUUUCGUGUAAAAUGCCAACUGUAGUGGGUCAUUCAGGCAGUGUAUGACAGAACUCUUUACUGCGCUGCAGUACCAUUUCUUUUCGAAAGUUGAAAAAAAUUCGGGUGUUCGUGAAAACUCCCUUUCAUAUAUGGUAGAAUGCCAAACAGCUCAGAAACAGCCAGCUGACUCCAUAUCAGAAAAUGAAAAUGUUACACAGGUAAAAUUGCAACAUAUGUUCAACAUAUGUUUCGAGUAACAUAUGUUGAACAUACGUUGAACAUACCUACGUUAAACAUAUGAAUUUUUCACAGUAUGUUGAACAUAUGUUUGAAAAAUAUUGUUAACAUAUGUUUGAAAAAUACGUUAAACAUAUUCCAGACUCAAAACAUAUGUUGAACAUAUAUUUGUAGUAAUCAUAUGUUCAACGUAUGUUUAACAUAUUUUGAACAUAUGUUUGUUUAAAACAUAUGAUCAGCAUAUGUUUUCAAUUUGCGUUAUGUUGAUUUGACAUGUUUGUUAGCUAUUUAAUUUUUAUAUGUAGUUAUGAAUACGUGUAUAAACAAAUUAUAUAAUCAACAUUAGCCAUGCAUUUUUUUCAUAUGAAGUGUUUCGUUAACAAAUCCGUAUUUAAGCCUGAAUCGGUUUUAAAUUUAGUGUUCAUAAACAUACGUCAUAUUUUACGUCACGGAGGCAGAAGAUCAAUCUGCAGGAUGGAUUUUAACUUGUAUUUAUAAGGAAUGCAGUGACUAGUGGACACAUCACAGAUGGCAUCAAAUAACACAGUGUCGGAGAUUUUGAAGAAUAAAUGGAUGUAGUAGUGCAGAGGUUUGUAAGAUUUCUUGGAUGCAGUCUGAAGACGAUGAAGUGAUGAAAGAUCCAGGAUAUUCUUCCUGAGCUCAAAGAUAUCUGCACAACAUUUGCUAUACAAGUUAUGACAGAAGUUUAGACUUGACUUGUCAAAUGAUAAACAACACAUCGAAAAAGAAGUUGGGCAAAAAGUGGGAUUAAUGAAUUAGAGAAACAAUUAAAGCUGCAGUGAGUGAGAACCAUUUACAGGAGAAUAACAAACUUGACUAUAUGAUAUUUGCAACAAUAAAAAUUACAUG